UACGUAGGGGGCGAGCGUUGUCCGGAAUCAGUGGGCGUAAAGAGCGUGUAGGUGGACUGGAAGGUCUGGUGUGAAAGCCCGGGGCUCAACCCCGGAAUGUCUUUCGAAACUGUUGAGCUAGAGUGCAGAAGAGGCAACUGGAAUUCCCAGUGUAGCGGUGAAAUGCGUAGAUAUUGGGAAGAACACCUGAGGCGAAGGCGGGUUGCUGGGCUGACACUGACGCUGAGGCGCGAAAGCCAGGGGAGCGAACGGG
rnacentral:rRNA from 1 species